AAUAUGGGAGAAAUAACGAAAAAAGAGAUGGGACAUGCAAAGAAGAAAUAAAAAGGAAAAAAGAAGGUGCUGCUUUGCGCCUUCACACCUCGCAUUUCAGCUUUUCAUUUUCUCUUCUCUUUUUACCCUCUCCCUCUCC
rnacentral:ribozyme from 1 species